rnacentral:rRNA from 1 species
GAUGAACGCUAGCUACAGGCUUAACACAUGCAAGUCGAGGGGCAGCACGGAGAUAGCUUGCUAUCUUGGGUGGCGACCGGCGCACGGGUGAGUAACGCGUAUCCAACCUGCCCAUUACUCAGGGAUAGCCUUGCGAAAGUAAGAUUAAUACCUGAUGUUGUUUGAUUGCCGCAUGACGAUCAAACCAAAGAUUUAUUGGUAAUGGAUGGGGAUGCGUGACAUUAGGUAGUUGGUGAGGUAACGGCUCACCAAGCCCACGAUGUCUAGGGGUUCUGAGAGGAAGGUCCCCCACACUGGAACUGAGACACGGUCCAGACUCCUACGGGAGGCAGCAGUGAGGAAUAUUGGUCAAUGGACGAGAGUCUGAACCAGCCAAGUAGCGUGCAGGAUGACGGCCCUCUGGGUUGUAAACUGCUUUUAGUUGGGAAUAAAAAGAGGGACGUGUCCCUAAUUGUAUGUACCAUCAGAAAAAGGACCGGCU